UGGUCUCUCCAGAUCCACCUGCUCAGGCACUUGUCAGUUUAUUCCUGAUUGGAUACAAAAUACGAAGCCUGACAAGGAGAAGCAGGACCUCCCAGCGCUGCUACAGCAAAGCCUUCCACUGUAGCAAAGAUCAGAGGGUGGGAGCCAUUUGUUCAGAGAGAGAAAGCAAAGCCUAAGUGCCCCCCAAACCCUUGGAAACAAACUUCACAGGAACUUUCUUAGUCUGACAACAGUCUCCUGCUCCCCACAAAUAUGCACACUGCUGCAUUUGAGGUGCUGUGUGCAGCAAAUGUUGCAGACAACAAAUCCUCAUUGGUCAUGGUUCUGGCUGAGGUCCAAGGUCAAGGCGCUGCAGGGUGGGUUUUGGCGAGGCGCUCUGCUGGGCUUGCAGAAGUGACUGACCUCUUGCUGUGUCUUCAUUUGACCUUCCCUGGGGGUGAGGAUGUGGUGACUGAGUCGGAGGCAGCUGGGCAGCAGUGGGCAGAGCUGACUCAGCAGAAAGAACAGAGCAGUCAAAGGCCAGGGCCAGGGAGACAGCAGUGGGUGGGCAGGAAGGCCAGGCAGGGCUGGGUUACCUGAAGAGUCUCAGGGCCCCGAGACCUCACACGGUAAGGACACCGGUGUGAUGAAGAGUGGGGCCUAGGGAAAAUGGAAAGUAACUGUGUGGGUCUGUUUGCAUAUUGAGAACUGCAGACUGAGGAGGCUUGAAGCAGGACCCACAAGGAACACAGAGACUCCAUGGCUGCUGGGACAGGCCAGGCCCCGCGCAGGUGCUGGAGUUGGGACAGCUGUGGUGGAGGUCAGUGGGUCACUCUGGAGCAACAGAGCUGAAAGCGAAGGGUCACACAGUGGCGGCCUCAAGGGAGUCCAAGGGACUCUACUCCUAGCCUUGCCCCUCCGUGGGCUGCUGCGAGCCGGGCAGCUUCAGUCUUCACAGCUCAUCUCAAGGUGACGCUUGCCGCCAUUGCCCCUGUCCCACGUGGGCGGGACCCAGCCUUGGGGUAAGUGGAAAGCUUCCCUCACAUUCAGAUUCUUCGGAAGUUCCAGGCGUGGGAGCUGUCCAGACUCCUGGGGUAACCCAUCAACCUCAAGUAGACCCUGAAGAAGGCUAAAAGCAGCUCUCAGAAAAAGAGUUUAUCCAACCAAAAGUAAAACGAAAAUGGAAUGAUUUGCCGGCUUGCAGAAACUCCCCAUGGACACUGCAGUUUGCCUCCACCCUCUACUGCCCUCCACCUCCACAGAAGCUUCUUGUCUGGGGCAAGGGAAGGUGCCAAGUAGUCUCAGAGUCACAUGGUCUCAAGGUCAGGGUCUGGGAGGAAGUCUAGGCUUUUCUCCCAGACCAGCCUUCUGUCUAUAGCUCUGACUGCCACCAUUAAUUAAUCCACUGCAGCAUGGCCCCCUUGCCUGUGAGCUAUGAAUUCAGCAUAAAGAAUGUCUUGCAGUGCUUUCCCCGUGCAGUAGUGGGCUUUCUGGGUAGGCAUGCUGUGACAGCGUCUCACUGAGCUCUCCCUGCCUGUUCACCCCUUCUCUGUAUGGGUGCUACAACCAGCCUGAGCACUUAGGGCGCAUCAGGUGACUGUCCCUGUGCCGGUGGUAAGCAGGGGCUGACUCUUGGCAACAGCCUUUGAUUAUGGUGACCCAUGAGAAUGGGAAGAGGCCGUGGGUAUGAGAACUUGGGGCUCCAUGAGGGUCAGAAGGCUGACUCAUCUUGCUGAGAUCAAGCCACCAGGCAGAGAUGGACAAGGAGGAUGUGUGGCCCUUUGCCAGGUCUAGUCUUCCCUUGGAGACCCCAGGAGAUUUCAGCCACAGGGCUGUGAGGAGACUGCACUCUGGGAGAGGCGGAGGCAGGAGGCACUGAGCCAUGGCGGAUCCCCGACUGUCUGAGAUACCCCUUCCUUCUACAGGCAGCCAUGAGUUCAAACUGUGCAUACAACGAGGCCCAGCAGCAUCCUUAUGGUGGAGUGAUACCUGGUGCUCGUCUGUGCUGCUGUGUGCAGAUUGAGAACCAUCUGAGUGAAAUCCAACACGGAUCUUCACCCAGCCCUGAGGGAUGUGGACGGCUACCUGUCUGAAAAGCCAUAUUGAUUGUAAAAGUUUUUUGAAAAGAUUUGACUGAAAUGGUCAAAGUGACAGAAUUCAGAAUCAUUUAAGUAAUGUUUUCAAUAUUUUCAUAUUCCUUCAUUAUAAUGUCCGUUUUGUGUUGUCAUUUUAUUCGACCGCUUCAGAUAAAUGAAUGCUUUAAAAAACAUUUGUUAUUCGGGCUAUUUUAUAUUUUAAUUUUAAUAAAAACUAAUUUUUCUAUAA